UACGUAGGGGGCAAGCGUUGUCCGGAUUUAUUGGGCGUAAAGAGCGUGUAGGCGGUCAGGUAGGUCCGUUGUGAAAACUCGAGGCUCAACCUCGAGACGCCGAUGGAAACCAUCUGCUAGAGUCCGGAAGAGGAGAGUGGAAUUCCUGGUGUAGCGGUGAAAUGCGCAGAUAUCAGGAAGAACACCCGUGGCUAAGGCGGCUCUCUAGUACGGUACUGACGCUGAGACGCGAAAGCGUGGGGAGCGAACAGG
rnacentral:rRNA from 1 species